UUAUUAUGAGAGUUUGAUCCUGGCUCAGGACGAACGCUGGCGGCGUGCCUAAUACAUGCAAGUCGAACGCUUCUUUCCUCCCGAGUGCUUGCACUCAAUUGGAAAGAGGAGUGGCGGACGGGUGAGUAACACGUGGGUAACCUACCCAUCAGAGGGGGAUAACACUUGGAAACAGGUGCUAAUACCGCAUAACAGUUUAUGCCGCAUGGCAUAAGAGUGAAAGGCGCUUUCGGGUGUCGCUGAUGGAUGGACCCGCGGUGCAUUAGCUAGUUGGUGAGGUAACGGCUCACCAAGGCCACGAUGCAUAGCCGACCUGAGAGGGUGAUCGGCCACACUGGGACUGAGACACGGCCCAGACUCCUACGGGAGGCAGCAGUAGGGAAUCUUCGGCAAUGGACGAAAGUCUGACCGAGCAACGCCGCGUGAGUGAAGAAGGUUUUCGGAUCGUAAAACUCUGUUGUUAGAGAAGAACAAGGACGUUAGUAACUGAACGUCCCCUGACGGUAUCUAACCAGAAAGCCACGGCUAACUACGUGCCAGCAGCCGCGGUAAUACGUAGGUGGCAAGCGUUGUCCGGAUUUAUUGGGCGUAAAGCGAGCGCAGGCGGUUUCUUAAGU
rnacentral:rRNA from 1 species